rnacentral:rRNA from 1 species
UACGUAGGGUGCAAGCGUUGUCCGGAAUUAUUGGGCGUAAAGAGCUCGUAGGCGGUCUGUCACGUCUGCUGUGAAAACUCGGGGCUUAACCCCGGGCCUGCAGUGGGUACGGGCAGACUAGAGUGCGGUAGGGGAGACUGGAAUUCCUGGUGUAGCGGUGAAAUGCGCAGAUAUCAGGAGGAACACCGGUGGCGAAGGCGGGUCUCUGGGCCGUAACUGACGCUGAGGAGCGAAGGCGUGGGGAGCGAACAGG